CACCUUCUGCUGCAACCUGCAAUUUUUCCCCAUUCCCCACCUCAACCUCCACAUCUUUGCAAGGGCCACCCGAGAGCCCGCCGGCCAACUGCCGUCGCCGCUAGAGGUGCUGCUGCAGGUGACGGAGCUAAUUAAUAAGUCGCCUCUUUCUCGUCUGGAUGUGUCUUCAGCAUUCAAAGUGCCACCAGGUCUUACAGUCUCAAAAGAAAAAAGAAAAAAACUGCCGCAUAGGGAAGUUUUACACCUCACAGCAGCCAUCAGAUGUCACAGUUCAGACUAAUAUAGAAAAACAACUAAAAAGGAGACUUUCUGCUCAAUUGGCUGACUCCCUCACCACUCCACAGUG
rnacentral:lncRNA from 1 species